AGGCUACGGGAGGCAGCAGUGGGGGAUAUUGCACAAUGGGGGAAACCCUGAUGCAGCGACACCGCGUGGGUGAAGAAGCGCUUCGGCGUGUAAAGCCCUAUCAGUGGGGAAGAAAAAGGACGGUACCCAAAGAAGAAGCACCGGCUAAAUACGUGCCAGCAGCCGCGGUAAUACGUAUGGUGCAAGCGUUAUCCGGAAUGACUGGGUGUAAAGCGCUCGUAGGCGGUAUGUCAAGUCAAGGGUGAAAUCCCCGAGCUCAACGGGGGAACUGCCUUUGAAACUGGCAAACUGGAGAGUGUGAGAGG
rnacentral:rRNA from 1 species